rnacentral:rRNA from 1 species
GACGAACGCUGGCGGCGUGCUUAACACAUGCAAGUCGAACGGAAAGGCCCUGCUUUUGUGGGGUGCUCGAGUGGCGAACGGGUGAGUAACACGUGAGUAACCUGCCCUUGACUUUGGGAUAACUUCAGGAAACUGGGGCUAAUACCGGAUAGGAGCUCCUGCUGCAUGGUGGGGGUUGGAAAGUUUCGGCGGUUGGGGAUGGACUCGCGGCUUAUCAGCUUGUUGGUGGGGUAGUGGCUUACCAAGGCUUUGACGGGUAGCCGGCCUGAGAGGGUGGACGGCCACAUUGGGACUGAGAUACGGCCCAGACUCCUACGGGAGGCAGCAGGGGGGAAUAUUGCACAAUGGGCGGAAGCCUGAUGCAGCAACGCCGCGUGCGGGAUGACGGCCUUCGGGUUGUAAACCGCUUUCGCCUGUGACGAAGCGUGAGUGACGGUAAUGGGUAAAGAAGCACCGGCUAACUACGUG